rnacentral:rRNA from 1 species
GGGUCAGUAGGUUGGUCGUGCCACCGGUACGUACUGGUCUCACUGAUUCCUCCUUCCUGAAGAACCGUAAUGCCAUUAAUUUGGUGUUGCGGGGAAACAGGACUGUUACUUUGAAAAAAUUAGAGUGUUUAAAGCAAGCUAACGCUUGAAUACAUUAGCAUGGAAUAAUGAAAUAGGACGAUCGAUCCUAUUUUGUUUGUUUCUAGGAUUGACGUA